UACGAAGGGGGCUAGCGUUACUCGGAAUCACUGGGCGUAAAGGGUGCGUAGGCGGGUUGUCAAGUUCUGAGUAAAAUCCAACGGCUCAACCGUUGAACUGCUUGGAAAACUGGCAGCCUAGAGUGAGGGAGAGGCAGAUGAAAUUGGUGGUGUAGGGGUAAAAUCCGUAGAGAUCACCAGGAAUACCCAUUGCGAAAGCGAUCUGCUGGAACUCAACUGACGCUGAGGCACGAAAGCGUGGGGAGCAAACAGG
rnacentral:rRNA from 1 species